rnacentral:rRNA from 1 species
AGCCAUCUGAGAUUGAGCAAUAACAGGUCUGUGAAGUGCCCUUAGAAUGUCUGAGGCUGCAUGCACACUACACUGACUGGCUCAGCCUGUGCCUACUCUAGUGCCAGCAGGAGCGAGUUACCCAUUGAUCCCCGUUCUUGAUGGGGAUCGGGAAUUGCAAUUAUUCCCCAUGAAUGAGGAAUUCCCUGUAAGUGCGGGUCAUAAGCUUGAGUUGAUUAAGUCCUUGCCCUUUGUACACACAGUGAAGCCCAAUACUAUUACCAAUUGGAUGGUUUAGUGAGGCCCUCAGAUCGGCCCUGCAGGGGUCUGCACAUGGACCUGGCUGAGAGCUAAGAAGGAAAACUUGACUAUCUAGAGGAAGUAAAAGUCCCAACAAUGUUUCCCUAGGUGAACCUGAAGAAGGAUCAUUA